rnacentral:lncRNA from 1 species
CUGUCCAGAGAGUCUGAUGGCUCAAAGAAUUUCCUGUGAGUGGAGGGACACAGCAAUUACUGGGAAACCACGCCUAUGCCUGGAGCACCUUCUAUCCAUCCCACCUUGGAGCCCAAGACCUUCCGUAGCUCUGUGGUUCAGAGCCCGUGGCCAAUCAGUUGGAAUGAACACAAGGCAGAACCUCUUUAGUAGCAUUGGAUUAGGGAACUAAGGCGGGCUGUGAACUUCAGUCUACGGGACUGAACCACUAACCGGAGAGCAUGCAGGGGUUGGACCCAGGUCUCCCGUACUUACGCCGCAGUACAGGUACAGCUCCAUCUUCAUGUGGGUCCCCCAACAACUGGAGUGGGGGCUGUUUCUGACUCCGUUGCCUGCCUGUGGAUCCUGUUCCACUGACUGGGCUGCCUUGUCUGGCCUAGUGGGAGAGGAUGUGCUAGGAUAGGUUGGUACCUGGGGGUGGGGUG